GCCGAGGUGGCGGAAUUGGCAGACGCGAGGGCCUUAAGAGCCCUUGUCACGUAUGUGACGUGCGGGUUCGACUCCCGCCUUCGGCA
rfam:Microgenomates (Woesebacteria) bacterium GW2011_GWA1_39_8 TT61_C0026, whole genome shotgun sequence.